rnacentral:rRNA from 1 species
AGGGUGUAAACGCUGCAGACUUGGUGUUGGAAGUCCUUUGGGGGCAUUCAGUGCCGGAGAGAAGUUGUUAAGUCUGCUACUUGGGGAGUACGUCCGCAAAGAUGAAACUUAAAGGAAUUGGCGGGGGAGCACCGCAACGGGAGGAGCGUGCGGUUUAAUUGGAUUCAACACCGUAAAACUCACCAGGGAAGACUGUUACAUGAAAGCCGAGAUGAAGACUCUGCUAGAUUUUUCAGAGAGGAGGUGCAUGGCGUCAGUGACU